CUACGGGAUGCAGCAGUGGGGAAUAUUGCACAAUGGGCGCAAGCCUGAUGCAGCCAUGCCGCGUGUAUGAAGAAGGCCUUCGGAUUGUAAAGUACUUUCAGCGGGGAGGAAGGGAGUAAAGUUAAUACUUUUGCUCAUUGACGUUACCCGCAGAAGAAGCACCGGCUAACUCCGUGCCAGCAGCCGCGGUAAUACGGAGGGUGCAAGCGUUAAUCGGAAUUACUGGGCGUAAAGCGCACGCAGGCGGUUUGUUAAGUCAGAUGUGAAAUCCCCGGGCUCAACCUGGGAACUGCAUCUGAUACUGGCAAGCGUGAGUCUCGUAGAGGGGGGUAGAAUUCCAGGUGUAGCGGUGAAAUGCGUAGAGAUCUGGAGGAAUACCGGUGGCGAAGGCGGCCCCCUGGACGAAGACUGACGCUCAGGUGCGAAAGCGUGGGGAGCAAACAGGAUUAGAUACCCCCGUAGUC
rnacentral:rRNA from 1 species